rnacentral:rRNA from 1 species
UGGGGAAUAUUGCACAAUGGAGGGAACUCUGAUGCAGCAACGCCGCGUGAAGGAAGAAGGUUUUCGGAUUGUAAACUUCUAUCAGCAGGGAAGAAAACAAUGACAGUACCUGACUAAGAAGCCCCGGCUAACUACGUGCCAGCAGCCGCGGUAAUACGUAGGGGGCAAGCGUUAUCCGGAUUUACUGGGUGUAAAGGGUGCGUAGGUGGCAUGAUAAGUUAGAUGUGAAAACCCAAGGCUCAACCUUGGGAUUGCAUCUAAAACUGUCAAGCUAGAGUGCAGGAGAGGAAAGCGGAAUUCCUAGUGUAGCGGUGAAAUGCGUAGAUAUUAGGAGGAACACCAGUAGCGAAGGCGGCUUUCUGGACUGUAACUGACACUGAGGCACGAAAGCGUGGGUAGCGAACAGG